GGAAAUUUGAAAAACUUCAAACCAUCCUUUGAACAGUUGAGCAACGAACGAGUAUCGGUUGCUCACUGUACUCGAUACCCAGGGAUCUGGACAUUUGCCAUUUGCACCGGAUGUACCAAAUAAUCAACGAGUUCCACCGCCGACGCAUUUGUUGCAGCGACGCGACGCGACGCCACCACCGACGCAUUAGUCACGUAUGCCGAUAUACAUAUAUAUAUAUAUACACUUCAGUUAACCGCUUCAAUUGAUGGCUGAGCACAGACGCGUGGGUGUUAUUUUCAUGGAGGAAAAUCAAAGUAGUAGCACUGACUAACGUACAGAAGAGUCGCCGUGGAGUGAUAACAGCGGAAGUGCUUAAUAUUACAGAAAAAAGACGAUAGAGAAGCC